rnacentral:rRNA from 1 species
AACGAACGCUGGCGGCAUGCCUAACACAUGCAAGUCGAACGAGACCUUCGGGUCUAGUGGCGCACGGGUGCGUAACGCGUGGGAACCUGCCCUUAGGCUCGGAAUAACUCCCCGAAAGGGGUGCUAAUACCGGAUAAUGUCUUCGGACCAAAGAUUUAUCGCCUUUGGAUGGGCCCGCGUUGGAUUAGCUAGUUGGUAGGGUAAAAGCCUACCAAGGCGACGAUCCAUAGCUGGUCUGAGAGGAUGAUCAGCCACACUGGGACUGAGACACGGCCCAGACUUCUACGGGAGGCAGCAGUGGGGAAUAUUGGACAAUGGGCGAAAGCCUGAUCCAGCAAUGCCGCGUGAGUGAUGAAGGCCUUAGGGUUGUAAAGCUCUUUUACCCGGGAUGAUAAUGACAGUACCGGGAGAAUAAGCUCCGGCUAACUCCGUG